UAAUACUAAGCGUCUGCUAUUGGCUGAUAUUCGUACACACAAUGUUGAUAUCAAUAAUAUUGCAUUCAUAAUAUUAGCGUCGUUUUUAGCGUCCUUUAGCAGAAGAGCGCAAGCGAACUAUAAAUCUGUAUUUUUCAAAGAAGCAAAGGCAGCAAAUCGUAGUAUCUCAACAUGGCCAAAUCAGCCGCAAAAAAGCCCGCAGCAAAGCCAAAGUCUACAUCAAAACCAAAGGCAAAGAAGCCAACAGGAAAAGUCACAAAACGUGCAGGCGGAAAGAAGAAACCCGCGAAGAAGGGAAAGAAGAAAGCACCGGCAAAGAAGUAAACGUAGAGAUUAUGCAAACAACGCCUGCCACCAUGCAAUGUUUGAUAUUUUACUGUAAAGAUCUUAGAGUAGGAACUGCUAUUUCAUCAACAAUGUUUCUGUCUCGUGAGUGUUAUUCCACGAAGCUGCUUCGCGGCGCCAGUGCGGUUUUUUACAAUUUGGCAGACGAUAGUUUGCUGCGGAGCUAAUAUCCGGGACCAACCAAUCAUCUUGCGGGACUGAUUCAAUUCAUGGACUCAACUUUUUUAAUUUAUAUAAUAUAUAUACAAUAUAUAAGCAUAUAUAUUUGUACAGUCAAUCUAUAUUGCGUCAUCGUGUCAUGUGACCCUAGAUUGGUUCAGCAAGCAAUAGGAAAGCACCACGUGACCCCAGAGACUAUUUGAAGGAAUAGUAAGCGUUGCUUAGCAAGCACUGCCUAGCAACAGAGAAACAACGUUGCGUAGCAACAUAUAAAGGUUAGAUAUGAAAGACUUAAAAGGAUAUUCCAGCAUCUUGUCCCUGGUCUUUGUCUCAGGGCACCGCACAAUUUGUGAAUUUAUACUCAGUGCAUUUUUAUGGACAGGGACGAGGUUGUGGAUGAAUUGAUCACGUUUGGGAGGCAUGGAGUUCGAACACGCGUUGGUUUGCCACGUAAACCAGGUGAUUGGAGGAAAUUUGGACAGAUACUUCAACAAUCUCACGCCAGGCAUCGGUUGACAUAGCAACCCAGAGAAUUUUUGAACUUUCUAGAUAUUGGUCACGUGGUUUGACGGAUUAUUAGAUUGCUCGAUCAGAAUACAUCGCCUGUUCAGCAACUGGUUUUGAGGGACGAUUUCGUCUUGCAUAAUACCACUGAGUACAAAUAUUAUUCUUCAAACCCAGUUGCUGGAUUUGGUUCAUUUUGAAUAAAUCAUAAUUGGACCAGCCAACUCCAUUAUAGGGCUCACUGUACGGAUGUAUAAUAAAGUGUCUUAUUCAUCACCAUAAUUAUCAUCAAA